CAGAAAAAAGUCACUCAAAAGCAACGGAGCAGCGUAAAUUGGUGCACAUACGUGCCACUUCUUUUUGCUGCGAGUGACCCAUGGAGACACUAAGCAGGUUUUGAAGCCUGCACAGGAGCUGCCUGUCUGCGCCGGCCGCCUCACAUCUGCUGUGUUUGGGGAGUUUUUACAGAGUUCAGGGGAGGAGGACGUAGUGACUGGAGAAAAGAAGGGAAGAAGAAGAAAAGCAGGUGAAGGAGGAUCAAGCCAAGCAACUUUCCACGUUUUUUUACUGCUGUGCAUUCCACACAGAGGUCAGGUCCUUGGAUGAAUGAGAAGAUAAAGGGUCACAGUGUUGCUCAAGAGCACUAAAUGUUGGAUCAAAUCUUUAAGACUGACAGUAUUAUGUUAAAAAUAAAAAAAUAUAAAUUU